AGUCGUAACAAGGUCUCCGUAGGUGAACCUGCGGAGGGAUCAUUACACAAUAACAAGGCGGGCUGGACACCCCCAGCCGGGCACUGCUUCACGGCGUGCGCGGCUGGGCCGGCCCUGCUGAAUUAUUCACCCGUGUCUUUUGCGUACUUCUUGUUUCCUGGGUGGGCUCGCCCGCCAUCAGGACCAACCACAAACCUUUUGCAAUAGCAAUCAGCGUCAGUAACAACGUAAUUAAUUACAACUUUCAACAACGGAUCUCUUGGUUCUGGCAUCGAUGAAGAACGCAGCGAAAUGCGAUACGUAGUGUGAAUUGCAGAAUUCAGUGAAUCAUCGAAUCUUUGAACGCACAUUGCGCCCUUUGGUAUUCCAAAGGGCAUGCCUGUUCGAGCGUCAUUUGUACCCUCAAGCUUUGCUUGGUGUUGGGCGUCUUUUGUCUCCAGUUCGCUGGAGACUCGCCUUAAAGUCAUUGGCAGCCGGCCUACUGGUUUCGGAGCGCAGCACAAGUCGCGCUCUUUGCCAGCCAAGGUCAGCGUCCAGCAAGCCUUUUUUUUCAACCUUUGACCUCGGAUCAGGUAGGGAUACCCGCUGAACUUAAGCAUAUCAAUAA
rnacentral:misc_RNA from 1 species